AUUGAACGCUGGCGGCAGGCCUAACACAUGCAAGUCGAACGGCAGCGGGGGGUAGCUUGCUACCCCGCCGGCGAGUGGCGGACGGGUGAGUAAUGCCUGGGGAGCUGCCCAAUCGAGGGGGAUACCAGUUGGAAACGACUGCUAAUACCGCAUACGCCCUGAGGGGGAAAGGUGGGGAUCUUCGGACCUACCGCGAUUGGAUGCACCCAGGUGGGAUUAGCUAGUUGGUGAGGUAACGGCUCACCAAGGCGACGAUCUCUAGCUGGUCUGGGAGGAUGACCAGCCACACUGGAACUGGGACACGGUCCAGACUCCUACGGGAGGCAGCAGUGGGGAAUAUUGCACAAUGGGGGAAACCCUGAUGCAGCCAUGCCGCGUGUGUGAAGCAGGCCUUCGGGUUGUAAAGCACUUUCAGCGAGGAGGAAAGGUUGGCAGCUAAUACCUGUCAGCUGUGACGUUACUCGCAGAAGAAGCACCGGCUAACUCCGUGCCAGCAGCCGCGGUAA
rnacentral:rRNA from 1 species